ensembl:lncRNA
UUUUAUUUUUUAAAUAUAAAUUUAUUUUAAUUGGAGGCUAAUUACUUUACAAUAUUGUAUUGGUUUUGCUAUACAUUGACAUGAAUCCACCAUGGGUAUACACAUGUUCCCCAUCCUGAACCCCCCUCCCACCUCCCUCCUCAUACCAUCCCUCUGGCUUAUCCCAGUGCACCAGCCCCAAGCAUCCAGUAUAAUGCAUUGAACCUGGACUGGGAUUUGUUUCACAUAUGAUGAUAUACAUGUUUCAAUGCCAUUCUCCCAAAUCAUUCCACCCUCUCCCUCUCCCACAGAGUCCAAAAGACUGUUCUCUACAUCUGUGUCUCUCUUGCUGUAUUGAACACAGGGUUAUCGUUACCAUCUUUCUAAAUUCCAUAUAUAUGUGUUAUUAUACUGUAUUGGUGUUUUUCUUUCUGGCUUAGUUCACUCUGCAUAAUAGGCUCCAGUUUCAUCCACCUCAUUAGAACUGAUUCAAAUGUAUUCUUCUUAAUGACUGAGUAAAGACUCUUGAGAGUCCCUUGGACUGCAAGGAGAUCCAACCAGUCCAUUCUAAAGGAAAUCAGUCCUGGGUAUUCUUUGGAAGGACUGAUGCUGAGGCUGAAACUCCAGUACUUUGGCCACCUCAUGCCAAGACUUGACUCAUUGGAAAAGACUUUGAUGCUGGUAGGGAUUAGGGGCAGGAGGAAAAGGGGAUGACAGCGUAUGACAUGGCUGGAUGGCAUCACAGACUCAAUGGACGUGAGUCUGCGUGAACUCUGGGAGCUGGUGAUGGACAGGUAGGCCUGGCGUGCUGCAGUCCAUGGGUCGCAAAGAGUCUGACACGAGUGAGCGACUGAACUGAACUGAUAGAGCUUCUCCAUCUUUGGCUGCAAAGAAUGUAAUCAAUCUGAUUUUGGUAUUGACCAUCUGGUGAUGUCCAUGUGUAGAGUCUUCUCUUGUGUGGUUGGAAGAGGAUGUUUGGUAUGAACAGUGCCUUCUCUUGGCAAAACUGUUAGCCUUGACAUGCUUCAUUUUGUACUCCAAGGCUAAAUUUGCCUGUUACAUCUGAUAUCUCUUGACUUCCUACUUUUGCAUUCCAGUCCGCUAUAAUGAAUAGGACAUCUUUUUUGGGUGUUAAUUCUAAAAGGUCUUGUAGGUGUUCAUAGAACCAUUCAACUUCAGCUUCUUCAGCAUUACUAGUCGGGCAUAGACUUGAAUGAUUUGAAUGAUUGAAUGGUUUGCCUUGGAAAUGAACAGAGAUCAUUCUGUCGUUUUUGAGACUGCAUCCAAGUAUUGCAUUUCGGAUAGUUUUGUUGACUAUGAUGACUACCCAUUUCUUCUAAGGGGCUCUUGCCCACAGUGCUAAAUAUAAUGGUCAUCUGAGGUAAAUUUACCCAUUCCAGUCCAUUUUAAUUCACUGAUUCCUAAAAUGUCAAUGUGCACUCUUGCCAUCUCCUGUUUGAAACCUUCCAAUUUACCUGAUUCAUGGGCCUAACAUCCCAAGUUCCUAUGAAAUACUGUUCUUUACACCAUCAGACCUUUUUUCCUUCACUAGUCACAUUCACAACCGCUGUUGUCUUUGAUUAGGCCCCAUCUAUUCAUUCUUUCUGGAGUUAUUUCUCCACUGAUCUCCAGGAGCAUAUUGGGCACCUACCAACCUGGGGAGUUCAUCUUUCAGUGUCCUAUCUUUUUACCUUUUCAUUCUGUUCAUGAGAUUCUCACGGAAAGAGUACUGAAGUGGUUUGCCUUCCCUUCUCCAGUGGACCAUAUUUUGUCAGAAUUCUCCACCACGACCCAACCGUCUUAGGUGUCCCACCUAUCAUCCACCAAGUUAAGCCAGGCUCAUUCUCCUCUGGCGGUCACAGUGUUCCCCAGGGAAGCAAGGGAGGGCAAGUCCCAAUUCACGAGUUCUUUUCAAGUCUCAGUUUGCGUCACAUUUGUUACUGUCCCAUCGACCAAAGCAAGUAACAUGGUGAAGCCCAGUGUCAGCGGGAGAGGGCAUUUACAAAGCCAUGGAUAUAGGAAGGGAAUUACUAGGGAGAUUUUUGCAAAUAACCUAUCUUGGGGACACAGUCUCAAAAUGAUAAUGUAUGGUAGUAAAGCAACAAACUUAUAUUCACAUAAUUUUUUGAAAAGCCUUACUAUAAUUCAAUAGUUCUACUUAAAAAUCACAUGGAGACAUUAAAUAUUAUUAUUUAAGUGAAAUACAUGCUGAAUAUUGCUCUUAAU